GGGUUGUGAGGUUAAGCGACUAAGCGUACACGGUGGAUGCCCUGGCAGUCAGAGGCGAUGAAGGACGUGCUAAUCUGCGAUAAGCGUCGGUAAGGUGAUAUGAACCGUUAUAACCGGCGAUUUCCGAAUGGGGAAACCCAGUGUGAUUCGUCACACUAUCAUUAACUGAAUCCAUAGGUUAAUGAGGCGAACCGGGGGAACUGAAACAUCUAAGUACCCCGAGGAAAAGAAAUCAACCGAGAUUCCCCCAGUAGCGGCGAGCGAACGGGGAGCAGCCCAGAGCCUGAAUCAGUGUGUGUGUUAGUGGAAGCGUCUGGAAAGGCGCGCGAUACAGGGUGACAGCCCCGUACACAAAAAUGCACAUGCUGUGAGCUCGAUGAGUAGGGCGGGACACGUGGUAUCCUGUCUGAAUAUGGGGGGACCAUCCUCCAAGGCUAAAUACUCCUGACUGACCGAUAGUGAACCAGUACCGUGAGGGAAAGGCGAAAAGAACCCCGGCGAGGGGAGUGAAAAAGAACCUGAAACCGUGUACGUACAAGCAGUGGGAGCACGCUUAGGCGUGUGACUGCGUACCUUUUGUAUAAUGGGUCAGCGACUUAUAUUCUGUAGCAAGGUUAACCGAAUAGGGGAGCCGAAGGGAAACCGAGUCUUAACUGGGCGUUAAGUUGCAGGGUAUAGACCCGAAACCCGGUGAUCUAGCCAUGGGCAGGUUGAAGGUUGGGUAACACUAACUGGAGGACCGAACCGACUAAUGUUGAAAAAUUAGCGGAUGACUUGUGGCUGGGGGUGAAAGGCCAAUCAAACCGGGAGAUAGCUGGUUCUCCCCGAAAGCUAUUUAGGUAGCGCCUCGUGAAUUCAUCUCCGGGGGUAGAGCACUGUUUCGGCAAGGGGGUCAUCCCGACUUACCAACCCGAUGCAAACUGCGAAUACCGGAGAAUGUUAUCACGGGAGACACACGGCGGGUGCUAACGUCCGUCGUGAAGAGGGAAACAACCCAGACCGCCAGCUAAGGUCCCAAAGUCAUGGUUAAGUGGGAAACGAUGUGGGAAGGCCCAGACAGCCAGGAUGUUGGCUUAGAAGCAGCCAUCAUUUAAAGAAAGCGUAAUAGCUCACUGGUCGAGUCGGCCUGCGCGGAAGAUGUAACGGGGCUAAACCAUGCACCGAAGCUGCGGCAGCGACGCUGAUGCGUUGUUGGGUAGGGGAGCGUUCUGUAAGCCUGUGAAGGUGUGCUGU
rnacentral:rRNA from 1 species